CUCUUUCUCUCUCACUCUGCUCCUCUCUUGUGCCCUCUGUCUCUUUCUCCCUCCCUCUCUCUGUCUUUCUCUCUCCCUCUCUCUCUCAAAAAAAAUGAAUCGCAAGUGGAUCUACCCACAUAAUUAGCCUGAAGUAAUUUUUAAUCAUUGUAUCAUUUGUUCUACUUUAUAUUGUUACGUUUAGUAUAUUUAAAAGUAGUUUGGCUUGUAAAUGGAAUGUAAACACUUAAGAUGAGCUCAGACAGACAUGUAUUAUAAUUCCUGCUUUGACACUUAUUCGUUGGCUAUUUUAGCCAAGUCAUCUACCCUCACUGGGUUUCCCGUUUCAGUACAUUGUACAAGUCAGAAUAAUAAUACGAACCUUACUAUGAAAGGUAAAAAAAAGUCAUUUGAAAGUACCUAGCACAGGUCCCUGGACAUAUGGAAAGUUCUCACUGAAUGUGUAAGUGAGCUAUAAAAAUAGUGGAGAACAAAAAAAUAGGAUGUUUUUAUUGUGUAAAAAAAUGUAAUUUUUCCUCAUCAUAGAUAUUAAUUUCCUAAUCAUAGAUAUUAAUCCUACUAUUUUAGGUACUCAUAAUCAAUAUUGUAUGAAGUAACUUGAGAUUCUGUAGGAUACAAGCUUCCAUGGAAACUUUCAGCGUCUUAAUAACUUCAUAGUGUUGCAACUUAAAAUAUGAAACCACUUGGAGUGGAUGGAAAGUUCCCCUGAAAUCUAGUAUCUUUUUUUCAUUUAUGAAUUCAUUUGCUUUAAAUAAAAUGCCAAUUGUAUGCCUGGAAAGCUAUUUCUGCCCCCCUGUAUCUAUUUGAAGCAUGAUGUUCUUUAGAAACUUUUGAAUUUUAGUACCUUUUGCAGUUGAUAAUUUUCUUCGUGUCUCAAAAGCUCAUUUAAUUAUAGCUGUCAUGUAUUAUUAUUUAAAUAUUUCAUGCCUUUAUCCCGUCACUGUUAUCUAGGAGAUAUUUACUGAACACCCGAUUGUGCAGAGUACCCUGGAGGGAAGAGGAAGGUGAACUAGGAACCAUACCUACUCUCAUGGAUGUUAUUUGUGUGCGCUCAGUUUGGAACAUCUGCACCCGUUCUGUAAUCAGAGCAAAUGUUAGCCUAAAGAGGUCUGCUCACAGGGGAGGGAAAAUAAAGAGAACCGUGGAGAAGUACAGCUGGAGCCAUUGUAUUAUGCUAUCUCUGCAACCUGCCUUGUCUCUGGAUUUUUGUUCCCAUGAGCUUCAGGAAUUCUUUCCAUAUCAUCACUGCUCAGCUCUGUAUAAUGCCAGCUUUCUUGCUCGAUGACCCCUCAGCGAGGAACUUGAGGACUCUAUUUUGCCCACCGUGUUAUAUUCAAGCACAGGAUGGCUACUUGGACAUACUUGUUGGAUGAUUGAAUGAAUGAGGCAGCGGAGCUAUGAUUCAGAGCCGCUUCUGGGGGAUUCCAAAGCGUGUGCACCCAACCCUAUGAUACAGAGCAUCAAUUUAGAGCCUCUUGUCAGAAAGAGAAUGACUUGGUGCCGCACAUAGGAUCCAAGAUGGGCCUCAUCUUCUCCAGAGCAGCGUUCACCCACCUGGUUUUCCCAUGGAAUGUGACUUUGUCCUGUUAGGAACCAUGUUCUCUCGCACGGCACCUCUCAUUUUGACGUGGAUGGUUGUAGAAGCUUCCUUUGUGUAACUUUCAUCAUGAUGCUUGCUUUCCAUGACAUUCCAUGUCACGGAGCGCCGUUUCAGGGCAGAGGAACUCUCGUGGUCGUUCUGAGACCCUCCAGCCGUCAUUGGGGGGGUAGUGUCAUCCUGGGGAAAGGAUCCCCUGCCCACUGUGCUGUUUUCCAUCGUAAGCUCUUUGGAUUCUGUGAGCUGUGUAGGCUGGGUGUUGAUUUGAUGUUAAGGGUAGGUGAGCUCAAUAAAUAAAGGCGAUUUUCCA